rnacentral:rRNA from 1 species
CGCUGGCGGCGUGCCUAACACAUGCAAGUCGAGCGAGGAGAUCCUCGGGAUGAUCCUAGCGGCGGACGGGUGAGUAACACGUGGGCAACCUGCCUCAUAGAGAGGAAUAGCCUUCCGAAAGGGAGAUUAAUACCUCAUAACAUUGCAGUUUCGCAUGGAACAGCAAUUAAAGGAGCAAUCCGCUAUGAGAUGGGCCCGCGGCGCAUCAGCUAGUUGGUGAGGUAACGGCUCACCAAGGCGACGAUGCGUAGCCGACCUGAGAGGGUGAUCGGCCACAUUGGGACUGAGACACGGCCCAGACUCCUACGGGAGGCAGCAGUGGGGAAUAUUGCACAAUGGGGGAAACCCUGAUGCAAGCAACGCCGCGUGAGUGAUGACGGCCUUCGGGUUGUAAAGCUCUGUCUUCAGGGACGAUAAUGACGGUACCUGAGGAGGAAGCCACGGCUAACUACGUGCCAGCCGCAGC